rnacentral:rRNA from 1 species
AGAGUUUGAUCCUGGCUCAGAUUGAACGCUGGCGGAAUGCUUUACACAUGCAAGUCGAACGGUAGAGGGGGCAACCCCUUGAGAGUGGCGAACGGGUGAGUAAUAUAUCGGAACGUGCCCAGUCGUGGGGGAUAACGUAGCGAAAGUUACGCUAAUACCGCAUACGAUCUACGGAUGAAAGCGGGGGAUCGCAAGACCUCGCGCGACUGGAGCGGCCGAUAUCAGAUUAGGUAGUUGGUGGGGUAAAGGCUCACCAAGCCAACGAUCCGUAGCUGGUCUGAGAGGACGACCAGCCACACUGGAACUGAGACACGGUCCAGACUCCUACGGGAGGCAGCAGUGGGGAAUUUUGGACAAUGGACGCAAGUCUGAUCCAGCCAUUCCGCGUGCAGGAUGAAGGCCCUCGGGUUGUAAACUGCUUUUGUACGGAACGAAAAGGUCUCUCCUAAUACGAGAGGCUCAUGACGGUACCGUAAGAAUAAGCACCGGCUAACUACGUGCCAGCAGCCGCGGUAAUACGUAGGGUGCGAGCGUUAAUCGGAAUUACUGGGCGUAAAGCGUGCGCAGGCGGUUAUAUAAGACAGAUGUGAAAUCCCCGGGCUCAACCUGGGACCUGCAUUUGUGACUGUAUAGCUAGAGUACGGUAGAGGGGGAUGGAAUUCCGCGUGUAGCAGUGAAAUGCGUAGAUAUGCGGAGGAACACCGAUGGCGAAAGCAAUCCCCUGGACCUGUACUGACGCUCAUGCACGAAAGCGUGGGGAGCAAACAGGAUUAGAUACCCUGGUAGUCCACGCCCUAAACGAUGUCAACUGGUUGUUGGGUCUUCACUGACUCAGUAACGAAGCUAACGCGUGAAGUUGACCGCCUGGGGAGUACGGCCGCAAGGUUGAA